AGUCGAUCCCUGGUCUCCACGGCGGUGCAGCCUCAGCCUCCUCGCUUUUCACGGUCGGCUUGGGCGUCCCUUCGGAAUGCCUUCCUCACUGAUGGUGCUUUAUUAGGAUUCCUCUUGUGCUUAAUUACCUCCUAGCCUCCUGCUGGCAGCGGGGUGCCGCCUCCUCACCGUAAUUAGGCUCCGUCGAGAGCCCUUUCCCUUCUUGCCAGCCCCAGCAGGCUCAGAGUUGGCCGAAGCCAGGGGGGAGGGGACGGCCAUGGGAACCCAGCGGUGUGACCCCUGCCCUCGGCGACGGGGCCAAGGUCAAGGCCAGAGUUGUUGGCCAGACCCACAUAGAACCUCAAGACACCCCCCUUAUCUCUCUCGCACCCGGAACGUGAGCCCAGCGCCUGGACGUGGAGAAUUCCUAUCUGAGGAGGGGCGCUGGGGUUAGGUGCCAGUGCUUGGGCCCCCGGCAGCCUAAACCACUCCUUUAAGUGGUCCGACGGGUGCUGGGGAAAUGUCCCAUCUGGAACCCAGGGAUCCCCCCAAGAGCGGCUUCCCUCUGCUCUUAGAUGCGAGAAGGAAGUUCUGAUUUUGCGGACACCCGGGAGGUGGCCAGGGCCAGGCAGACUCUGCCAAGUGCCCUUCCAGCUUCUGGUCCAACGAGGGAACACUUUGGGAUGAGAGUUACCGGCUUGUCGGAACUCCUCUGGUGACGAUUUGUGGGUGGAGCACACACAAGUGUAGAGUUAUAGCUGAGGUCUUUACCUUUCCGUCUUCCAGGCAGCCUUCUGUGCCUCUGCUCUGAGAACAUGAGACUCAUCCUUGAUUCUGGCACACGGGUGUUACUUGGUCACAUGAAAUAAAAGGUUACGGGCAUGGUGGUUCACGCCUGUAAUCCCAGCACUUUGGGAGGCCGAGGCGGAUGGAUCACGAAGUCAGGAGAGGACCAGCCUGGCCAAGAUGGUGAAACCCCGUGUCUACUAGAAAUACGAAAAUUAGCCGGGCAUGGUGGCAGGCGCCUGUAAUUCCAGCUACUUGGGAGGCUGAGGCAGAGAAUUGCUUGAACCCAGGAGGCGGAGGUUGCAGUGAGCCAAGAUUGCGCCACUGCACUCCAGCCUGGGUGACAGAGCCAGACUCCGUCUCAAAAAAAAAAAAAAGAAAGAAAAACAGGGUCUUGUUCUGUUGCUCAGGCUGGAGUGGAGUGGUGUGAUCACAGCUCACUGCAGCCUCAACCUCCUGGGUCCUGGGCUCAAGCAAUCCUCCUGCC
rnacentral:lncRNA from 1 species